rnacentral:sRNA from 1 species
AGGAAUUUUAUUUCAUAUUUUAUUCAUUGAUAACCCAAAAAACCGAAAAGAUAUGCAAACAAAUGGAAAAAUGGUAUGUUAAUAUUAUGCAAAGAGGGAAGGAGACAUGGACGUGCCUCUUGGCAGCUUGCACGCCCACUUGCCGGAACGUGCUCCACAUUUCCAGGUCGCCGCUGCAGCAGCCGCUUUUUGCGUUCCUUUCCCACAUUCCCCGCGCUGUGAUUUCCAUUCCGCUGCCCUGCGAGGAGAGGGCAUAAAUCAAGCGACUUUCACUCUGCCCGGUUCCGCCUUCGGCUGCUUUAUCUUGUUUUUCGAUUAUUCAUGUUGUUCUUGGUUGAAUUUUAAUUUUAUUUUGUAUUUUGUGUUAUUGUUAUGGGGAAUUUUUUGUCAAAAUGAUUUUUAUAACACAUACUCGGGCACUUACAUUUGAUGGGGGCCCGUAACUGAGUAUUUCUCUGUCCGUGUGUGAUUGUUCAUAGGUAGGGAGCUUCCCCCAGUCCCAGUCCCAGGCAGACACACACAGCUGCAUUGCAAUUGUAAUUGUGACAGUGACUGUGACUACGACAGUGACUGUGUGCAGUGCCAUAAUAAUGGGAAGAUGUUGCAGACAAGGGUUCCAUUCCAUAGUUUCCGGCACGCAUUUCACUCGCUUUGUGCCAUUAUUUUCAAUUCCCAGAAAGGGAGACGGAACGAGCAGAACGAGACCAAGACCCAGCGGACAGACUGCUGUCCAGACCGAGGGGGUUCAACGCACUGAUGGAAUGCCCGGAGUUGGCUCGCAUCGGGGAUGGGCUAAAGACAGCCAUUCUCGAAUGGCAAUCGGCAAUAACCAGACCAAGGGAUCACAAUCGGACUCAACUAUUGCCAAUCCCCCCACCAUCUGUGGGCGAGGAGCAGUGGGAGACCACAGAGUAGAAAAGACAGCCCGCUGAGUCAGAAAUGUGGACCCUCUCCAUCCCUCCAUCCCACCAUCCAGAAUAGUCAGCGUUUAUCUGACGGCGCGUCCCCAUUUCAAGUCGAGUAAAUUUACAGUGUCUGCAAGUGCACACCUUCUUUAUGCCCUGCCAGAGGGUAUGUAGGAUUUCGUAUUUUCCAAGUAUUUUCCUAUAAGAUUGUCUACUCGUAGUGAGUAUCAAGGGCAGAGUCUGCUUCAUUAAAUGUCGCCUUUUGCUGCAACAAGAUCUUG